rnacentral:lncRNA from 1 species
GAAGGUUUUGGGUGCCCGAGGCCGGGGUAGGCUAUCUUGUUCUCCCUGGGCUGCAGGGGGCCGGCUGUAGCGGGAGCUGAACCUCAAAAGCGGGCUCACACCGGUGAAGUUCAUCUGCCCUAUGUUACUGAUAGUGGAUGCCAAGUUUUCUCUCAGUAAAGCCUCGGGAGAGCCCCUUACUUGAAAACACUACGGUUGUCUCCUGUUUGGCAAAGCACAUUGUGGCAAAGAGCUAUGGUCCAUUCAGCCUGGGGAUUUGGCUGGCAUGCUCUGAAGAUCUCUCCCGAUAUAGGUGCCGAAGUUUCCCUCUUCGUGCAAAAAAAAAGGUUUCAGACAGUUUGACUCCAGACACCAUACUCGGAACACUGCUGGCCUGCUCCACAUGAUGACUACGUUGACUGUGAAGUGAAUUUGAAAAGUCAGACAGUAUCCUGAAAGCAAAUUCCCUGGAAUCGGUCAAAAUCAGGCAUGUGGGAAGAAGCAAGAUCUCACCCACAUCAUCUACUCAACAUUCCUGUCAGAGAAGCUUGUCACUGAGAAGACCUUCAUAGUGCUGAGCCACCUGCGACAUACUUUAUCCUUACCCAAACUUUGGUGCAAAUCUGAAAACUCACCUUCCAAAUUCAAGAAUAUAUUGUUGUCUAGGGAAAC